GCUCCAUGGAGGCGACCAACGGGGCUCUGCCCGAAGGCGCGGCGGGGGGCUCCCGCGACAACGCGGCCGCCCCGUCGGGCAAGAAGGAGGUGAAGGUUGUGAUCGUGGGGGACGGCGGCUGCGGGAAGACGUCGCUGCUGAUGGUGUACGCCAAGGGAGACUUCCCGGAGCAAUACGCGCCGUCCGUCUUCGAGAAAUAUACUACCAGCGUUACGGUGGGCAAAAAGGAGGUCACCCUGAAUUUGUACGAUACGGCAGGGCAAGAGGACUACGAUCGGCUACGACCGCUUUCAUACCAGAACACAAACGUCGUGUUAAUUUGUUACGAUGUCAUGAACCCCACUAGCUAUGAUAAUGUAGCAGCUAAGUGGUAUCCUGAAGUGAAUCACUUCUGCCGAGGUGUCCCGCUUGUACUGAUCGGCUGCAAGACAGACCUUCGGAAAGACAAAGAACAGUUGCGCAAACUCAGGGCUUCUAAGCAGGAACCCGUUACUUACAACCAGUCUUUUACAGCUGAUGGCAUCUUGAGUCACACGACGUGAUGCUUCCAAUGCCAGGCACAGAGGAGCUGAACAGUAUCUGCCAGCACUGCAGCUUGCAAACAACUGGAAGGAGACAAACUUCGCUUAAAUGUGCUGAAGAAAAAUCCCCCUAUAGAAGCCUGAGUGCUCAAGUGACCCCACUCCCAGGGCUUAUAAUGAAUAAAUGCAGAGUUUGUGAGCUGUGUGUUGCAGACCUGGAAUUCACACUCCAAGGCUCACAAGCAUUCCAAACUGGGGGCUGACUCUGCCAUGACAAGAAAAGGAUCACAAGCAAAGGUGAAGCAGCUUGUCAGCAGAUUAAUGCAGAAGUUUAUCUGGAGUGCUCAGCAAAAUGUCGUGAAAACAUAGAAAAUGUUUUU